rnacentral:lncRNA from 10 species
CCACCCUGUCCUCCCCUCCGUCCCUCUCCUAAGAGCAGGCCACAGGUCUGUGCGGGGUUCCUCUGGGUCCUGCCCUCCCCUGUCAGUGGCAGGUGCUGAAGCCUGCUCAGAGGGAGGAAAGUAGGAAAGGCAGGCAAACACACAAUUGUCCUGCCCAUUGCCAAGUCAUCGUCUGUGUCACACAGGAGAGCACCAUCCCGUCAGCAAGAACCAAGACAUCUUCUGCAGCUGCCCAAGGGCUCCCUCUCACCAAAGCCAGGGAGAGAUAGAGACCCUCCCACCCCAGGGUGAGCCUCGGUGGGAGGCCGAUGGGGCCGGGGAACAGGGAAUGGCAUGGACUGGCCAAUUCACAGCAGACACCUGGUCACCGGCUCAGGCUCUGGGAGCAGGCAGCCCGGGGCACAAGGGCCGCUCAGCCACUGCACAGCCACAUGAUCCCAUCCGUGGCCUGCAGCGCUCUGUCUGAAGCAGGGUUAAUGAUAGACGCUCCUCAGAGGUCUGUGGGGCUCCAGAAGACAGGGCGUGAGUCCAGCCCAGAGCCACUGUGAUCUGUGCGUACGGUGACCCCACUCUGGAACGCCCAGACUGCAUCAGCCUGCCUGGACACCCACCCUGCAGCUUCAGCGAGGCGGAGAAGUCCCCGGUCUUCUGCUUCACAGCCCUCGUGGCAUCCGGCUCCACCUCUUCCCACUCCGCCACCACUUUGAGCUUCACGGUGAAGGUCCCGAUGAUGGAAUAGUUAUAAUAGACCACGGAGUCUUCAGUCACCAUCUGGGUCCUGUUAGGAGACAGGGAGGAGAGAGGAGGAAGACAGCAGACGGUUGCUUCCCCUUCCUGUAACUCAGAAGUGAUUCAUGGGACUUGCCAGAGUCAGGGGAGGCUGUACAGUGAUACUCCCAGCUACCAGUGAGCACACCUGUCAUCACAGCCUAGAGCCAGCCAGGGCUCCAGGUCAGCUGGCCCAUUUUCCAGAUGAGCAAACCGAGGCCAGAGAAGGCCUAAAAUUCAGGAAAAUUACAAAUUUCUCACAUUAGCCAAAGUUCAAGGGCUCAACAGCCCCACGUGGUGAAGACAGAAGAAUUUUUUGUCAAAAAUUUUUUGUUUUUGUUGUUUUUGUUUUUUGAGACAGGGUCUCACUCUGUCACCCAGUGGCACAAUCAUGGCUCACUGCAGCCUUGAAUUCCUGGGCUUGAGCAGUCCACCUGUGUCAGCCUCCCAAGUAGCAGGGAUCACAGGCGUGUACCACUGUGCCAGGCUAAUACAUGAUUUUUUGUAGAGACAAGGUCUUACUAUGUUGCCCAGGCUGGUCUUGAACUCCUGCGCUCAAGUGAUCCUCUGACCUCAGCCUCCUAAAGUGCUGGGAUUAUAGGCAUGAGCCACUGUGCCAGCCAAGCCGAGGGUUCUGUUGGACAAAGCUGCCAUCCAGAUUUUUCAAGUAAAUGGUCUUUCCUGCAAAUUGUCUGCUUUCCAAUAUUUAUACUGUACUUUUUAUCUCUCUCUCCCUUUUUUUUUUAUUUUUUAUUUUCCUUUUUAGAGAUAAGGUUCUGCUCUGUUGCCCUGGCUGGAGUGCUGUGGUGCAAUCAUAGCUCACUGCAGUCUCUGAACUCUUAGGCUCAAGCAGUCCUCCCACCUCAGCCUCCCGAGUAGCUGGGACUACAGGCACGUGCCACCAUCCCUGGCUAAUUUUUGUAUUCUUUGUAGAGACGAGGUAUCACUAUGUUACCCACCCUAGUCUCGAAUUCCUGGGCUCAAGCUUUCCCCACCCUCUUGGCCUCUCAAAGCACUGGAAUGACAGGUGUGAGCCACCAUAGGCCCGCACUUAUUUUCUUGACUUUCCUAAGUAAGUUAGAACUUUCAGGAUAAUAUCGAUGGACCCUGAUAAGGAGCACCCUUGUCUUAUUCCUGCAUCUAGAGCCAGGUUCCCCCAACAUCUCAAUGCAACGACUCCCCAGAGGUAUUUGACCACAGGUCACUUUUGUCACCAAGAGUUAGAGAAUCCACAUUCCACGUUUUGCCAGGCACGAUGGCUCACCCCUGUAAUACCAACACUUUGGGAAGCCAAGGUGGGAGGACUGCUUGAGCCCAGAAGUUCGAGACCAGCCUGGGCAAUUUGGCAAAACCCUGUCUCUACAAAAAAUACAAAAAUUAGCCAGUCGUAAUGUUACAGGCCUGUGGUUCCAGCUAUUCAAGAGGCUGAGGUGGGAGGAUCACUUGAGGCCAGGAGGCGGAGGUUGCAGUGAGCAGUGAUCACGCCACUGCACUCCAGCCUGGGCAACAGAGCGAGACCCUGUCUCAAAAACAGAAACAAAAACACAUCCUUUUUUUUUUUUUUUUUUUGAGAGGGAGUCUCAUUCUGUCACCCAGGCUGAAGUGCAGUGGCAUGAUCUCAGCUCACUGCAACCUCCUCCUACCCGGUUCAAACGAUUCUCCUGCCUCAGCCUCCCAAGUAGCUGGGAAUACAGGCGCACACCACCAUGCCUGGCUAAUUUUUGUUUGUUUGUUUGUUUUGCAUUUUUAGUACAGACGGGGUUUUGCCAUUUUGGCCAGGCUGGUCUCAAACUCCUGACCUCAAGUGAUCCAUCCACCUCAGCCUCCCAAAGUGCUGGGAUUACAGAAGUGAGCUACUGCACCCGGCCAAAAACAAAAACAUAUUCUAAGUUCUCCACUCAGUAUAAUGUUAGUUGUUAGUUCCAGCAACUUCUUUUUCUAGUUUAUUUAUAUUACAUUGAAUGUUCAUUUCUGUAUAAUGUUAGUUGUUAGUUCCAGCAACUUCUUUUUCUAGUUUAUUGAUAUUACAUUGAAUGUUCGUUUCUGUUCAUACUAACGCUUUUUUGGCAUCUAAAGAGAUGAUCUGGCCAGGCACGGUGGCUCACACCUGUCAUCCCAGUGCUUUGGGAGGCUGAGGCGGGAGGAUGGCUUGAGGCCAGGAGCUCAAGACCAGCCUGGCCAACAUAGUGAGACCCCAUCUCUACAAAACAUUUUAAAAAAUAGUCAGAUGUGGUGGUACAUGCCUGUGGUCCCAGCUACUCGAGAGGUCGAGGCAAGAGGAUUCCUUGAACACAGGAGAUUGAGGCUGCAGUGAGUCAGAUUUGUGCCACUGCACUCUAGCCUGGGUGACAGAGCAAGACCUUGUCUCUAAAAAUGGAGGGCGGGGGGUGAGGAAAGCCAAGCACAGUGGUUCACACCUGUAAUCCCAAUGCUUUGAGAAGCUGAGAUGGGAGGAUCUCUUGAGCCCAGGAGGUCGAGACCAGCCUGGGCAACAUAGUAAGAUCCUGUCUCUACAAAAAUAUUUUAAAAUUAGCUGGGUGUAGUGGUGCAUGCCUGUAAUCCCAGCCACUCAGGAGGCAGAGGUGGGAUGAGUGCUUGAGGCUGGGAGGUCAAGGCGGCAGUGAUCUAUAAUCACACCACUGUACUCUAGCCUGAGUGUCUGACCACAGGUUGCUUUUGUCACCAAGAGUUAGGAAAUCCACAUUCUGAGUUUUGCUGGGCACAGUGGCUCACCCCUGUAAUCCCAACACUUUGGGAGGAGGAAGGGAGGGAGGGAAGGGGAGGGGAGGGUAGGAAGGAAGACAGGGAGGGAGAGAGGGAGGGAGGGGAGAGGAGAGGAAGGGGGAAGGAAGGAAGGAAGGAAGAAAGGAAGGGAGAAAGAAGAAAGAAAAAAGAAAAAGGAAAGGAAAGAAAGGAAAGGAAGAAAAAGAAGGAAGAAAGGAAGGGAGGGAGGGAGGGAGGGAGGAAGGGAGUAGGGCCAAGCAUGGUGGCUCCCACUUGUAACCCCAGCACUUAGGGAGGCAGAGGCAGGAGGAUCACUUGAGCCCAGGAGUUCAAGACCAGCCUUGGCAACAUAGCAAGACCCUGUUCUCCUCCACCAAAAAGGGGAAAAAAGACAAAAAGUUAAAAAGGAGCAAUAAAGAGAAACGAAGCCAGAGCACCUGGGUUCUACCUCGUAUCCACCAAGGGUUGGCUGGGUACCCUUCGAGGUCAAAUGGGAAAAAAUCUCAUGUACCUUUACCUUCCUUAAAUGGCUGUUUUGGGCACCAAUGGCCUCCUCUAUUAGGUGAAGACACCACAAAGGCAGGGCUAGUGGCUGAUUCACCAGUGUUCUCCGGGACCCCCAGUCGUGGCAGAGAGGAGGUGCUUGAAGGAUGUUUGAAAGGAGACAGGGUGAGCAGGGAAAGGAGAGGAGCUUCAGGUGGGUGCAGUGGUUCACACCUGUAGUCCCAGUAUUUUGGGAGGCCAAGGUGGGAGGAUCACUUGAGGUCAGGAGUUCAAGACCAGCCUGGCCAACAUGGUGAAACCCAGUCUCUACUAAAAAAUAUAAAUAAAUAAAUUAAUUAAUUAAUUAAUUAAAUUUAAUAUGAAAAUUAGCCAGGCAUGGUGGCUCACACCUGUAAUCCUAGCACUUUGGGAGGCCAAGACAGGCACAUCACUUGAGGCCAGGAGUUUGAGACUAGCCUGGCCAACAUGGUGAAACCCCAUCUCUACUAAAAAAAAUAAAAAUAAAAAAAAUACAAAAAUUAGCCAGGUGUGGUGGCGCAAGCCUGCAGUUCCAGUUACUGGGGAGGCUGAGGCAGGAGAAUCACUUGAACCCAGGAGGAAGAGGUUGCAGUGAGCCAAGAUGGUACUACUGCACUCCAGCCUGGAUGACAGAACAAGACUGCAUCUCAAAAAAAAAAAAAAAAUUAAAGGUGAAGAGAUUCGGAGUACCCUGCACAGUGCGCGGGACAGUGGGGCACCAGUGACAGCUGUAGGGCCUGCAGAGGGGUAAGGACCUACCCGUCCCCGAAGUCCCAGCUGUAGAGAAACAAGGCGGUCUUGAGGAAGUUGCUCGGGUCGUGGAGGAGGAAGGAGACUUUCAGGACGGUCUUAGUGAGAUAGGAGCUGGGCCAGGGUAGGGAAGUGUUCUGGGUGACAACAAGGUCCCCCACGAGGAACUCUGGGAGAGAGAGAGACACGGGAGGGUGAGUCUUGGAGAUUCAGGGAUCAGGAAACCAGGUAGAGACUUCAUGGGCAGCUGUCAAAGCCACCACUUCCCUGCCCGGACCUUCUGGCUGUCAGAGCUAGGCAGGGAGAGGGGACACCCCCCUACAACUCCCCAAAGACCCCUGAACACAGAGGCAUCUGCACCCUCCCCCUGCUGCAUGAACACUGCUGAACACCGGAGGACUCUGUCACAUUCACUGUUUUCUCUCCUGUCCCCUCUCACAAGGACCCUGAACUUUCUGGCACAAAAGAUGCCCAAGGUCAGAAGGAAAUGCAUGGCUGGGUGCGGUGGCUCACACCUGUAAUCCCAGCACUUUGGGAGGCCGAGGUUGGUGGAUCACAAGGUCAAGAGUUCAAGACCAGCCUGGCCAAGAUGGUGAAACCCCGUCACUACUAAAAACACAAAAAUUAGCCAGGUGUGGUGGCACACACCUGUAGUCACAGCUAUUUGGGAGGCUGAGGGAGGAGAAUCGCUUGAACCUGGGAGGCGGAGGUUGCAGUGAGCCAAGAUCGCGCCACUGCACUCCAGCCUGGGCGACAGAGCAAGACUCUGUCUCAAAAAAAAAAAAAAAAAAAAAAAGAAGAAGGAAAUGCAUAAGCUUUGAAAGGAACUUUUGAGAAAUAUUUCAGAAUGUCAGGUGACCCUAGAAAAAUUAGCAGUUCCAAUGACCAGGCACGGUGGCUCACACCUAUAAUCCCAACACUUUGGGAGGCCAACACGGGCAGAUCACGAGGUCAGGAGAUCAAGACCAACCUGACUAACACAGUGAAACCCUGUCUCUAUUAAAAAUACAAAAACAAAAUUAGCCAGGCAUGGUAGCGGGCACCUGUAGUCCCAGCUACUUGGGAGGCUGAGGCGGGAGAAUGGUGUGAAUCCGGGAGGCAGAGCUUGCAGUGAGUCGAGAUCGCGCCACUGCACUCCAGCCUGGGUGACAGAGCAAGACUCCGUCUCAAAAAGAAAAAAGAAAAAUUAGCAGUUCCACUGAUCACAGCUUCACACGUUGGGACCACUGUCCUAUGUCUACUUCUCUAAAAAGAAAAAAAAUUGGUGGGGCACGGUGGCUCACACCUGUAAUCCCAGCACUUUGGGAGACUGAGGUGGGCAGAUCACUUGAGGCCAGGAGUUUGAGACCAGCCUGGCCAACAUAGCGAAACCCUGUCUCUACUAAAAAUACAAAAAUUAGCUGGGUGUGGUGGCCAGCACCUGUAGUCCCAGCUACUUGGGAGGCGAAGGCACGAGAAUCGCUUGAACUGGGAGGUGGAGGUUGCAGUGAGCCAAGAUCACAGCACCACUCCAGCCUGGGCAACAGAAGGAGACUCUGACUCAAAAAUAGUAAUAAUAAAUUAAUUAAAAUUAGUAAAAGUGGAAAGAAAAAGGCAUGCUCAAUAGAGCUCAUUUGGAAAAUGUUCAAACAUAAAAUAAGAAGAAAAGAAGCUAACUAACAUUCACCUCAACCACUGUUGCCAUUUUGAAGUAUGACAAAGUAUUUGCUUCAGUGUUUAAUAUACACAUACAUUAAAUACAGAUUAUUGGGUUAGACAAUUCUGUGCUUUGCUUUUUUAAUAUGUAAUUUUACAUGCAUGUGUAUUUACCCAUGGCCUUACAAACUCAUUGUAAGGGUCACUGUUAAUAGUGGUAUAAAUGAUUUUAUUAUAUUUAGCCAAUCUCCUCAUGGUUGCUCACUUAGCUUGUUUAUCUCUUCUUUUGCUAUUAUAAACACUAUUGCAAUGAACACCUUAAUGCAAAAGGCAUGACCCAAAUGCAGGUUUAUUUCCUGAAGAUAAAUUCAUUAUUAGACUGGAAAGUCUAAAGGGGCAAAGGGGCAUCUUCUCUUGGAAUGAGAGAGAGAGAGAGAGACAAAGAGACAUAGAGACAGAGAUAAAGAGACAGAGACAAAGAGACAGAGACAGAAAGAGACAAAGAGACAGAGAACAGAAAGAGCAAGAUAGAAAGGGAAAACAGAGAGAGAAGGGACAGAGAGAGACAGAAAGAGACAGACAGAGAUAGAACAGAGAGAAGGACAGAGAGAGACAGAAAAGAAAGGGGAGAAAGAGGGGAGAAAGAACCAGUGAAUGACUGGCCCCAAGACUACAAUAAUUUCUUUUUUUUUUUUUUUUUUUUUUUUUUUUUGAGAUGCAGUCUCACCCUGUCCCCGAGGCUGGAGUGCAGUGGCACGUUCUCGGCUCACUGCAACCUCUGCCCCCCAGGUUCAAGCGAUUCUCCUGCUUCAGCCUCUUAUACAGCUGGGAUUAUAGGUGCCCACCACCAUGCCCCCACUAAUUUUUGUAUUUUUAGUGGAGACGGGGUUUUGUCAUGCUGGCCAGAUGGCUCUCAAACUCCUGAUCUCAGGCGAUCCACCUGCCUCGGCCUCCCGAAGUGCUGGGAUUACAAGCGUGAGCCACCGCGCCCAGCUGAGACUACAAUAAUUUCUAACCAACAGUACCUAUUGACCAGUCGCUCUCCACAGGGUUGUAUUAAUGUAUACCCUCAGCAGCAAUAGGCGUCCCUUUUAGCACAAUACCUCCUGGGGGCAAUCACUGCCAUUUUCAGAUCCUUUCUAACUCGACUGACCCGGGGAAGGAACCUACGGGCCUAAUCCCCCAGAACCUACGGGCCUAAUCUGCAUUGAUCUGAUUCCUAGCGAAGCUUGAUGUUUUUCUCUGCACCAAGGGUUUGAAGGCAAACUAGCAAAUGGGAGCGACCCUCACCUGUGAUGGGGAGGACCACAAAGCCCCUGGCCACAGGCUGGCACAUCCAGCAGUCAGCGGCAGUGACCCAGACAGAGACCGGGAAUUCCCCGGGCACGUGGCCGACCACACGGAUGGUGGAGCUGAGACCCUUCUCCAUCUUGCCAGACACAUUGAAAAUCUCUGACACAAAUCAACCUGAUGGACAAGAGACCCCUUUCCUGUAUUUCCAGGAGGAAAUAGGUAAUCUUGUCCAAGUGCAAUUCCCAUAAAAUUCGUCUAAUUCAUCCCUGAGUUGCAGGUUUUCUUUGACCUCAUGGUUUUUCUUUCACAAAUUUUCAUUAGAUCCCUUGCUCUCUCUCUCCACCGCUCUUUUAUGAGGGGGGAGGGGGUGAAAAGUGGUGGAUAGUAUUCAACCUUCUUAGCUGCCCACGUCCCAUCUGUCCCUCGAAUAGUCUUAAAUCUGGGUCCUUUUAUGGUUCCCAAAAUGUGGCAGAGAGGUGGGUGCUGGCUUUCUGGCGGUGGGGAAGUGGGGGCAGUAGACACACAACCCUGCUUCCCCCACUCCCCCACCCACACACACACCCCAGGAACCUGUCAGCUCCGGGUCCAUUUUGGAAAUCACCACCAGAGAGGAAAUGGCAGCCUGGCCUCCUGGGCUCUAAAUUCGCAUCUCCCCAAAGCCAGCACCAACACGGUGGGAAACCCCUCUAGAUGAGGCGACAUUUUAAGGCAAAAACGUUGCCCAUCCCGUGCUCCCUGGGGGACUGGGGAAUUGUGGCGCGAUGACGGACCCUGGCGCAUCCCCGCCUCCCUGCCUCGUCCUCCCCUCCCUUAGCGGGUGCAUGGUCCCCAGGCAUCGACGGAUGCGCCGGCCACCCCCGCGCGGUUUCCAGGGCAGGGCCAGCCUGGG